rnacentral:rRNA from 1 species
GCACGGGUGCGUAACACGUAUGUAAUCUGCCCAUCACUGGAGGAUAGCCCGGAGAAAUCCGGAUUAAUACUCCAUAAUAAAAGACAAAGCAUUUGUUUUUUUGAAAGCUCCGGCGGUGAUGGAUGAACAUGCGACUGAUUAGUUUGUUGGUGAGGUAACGGCUCACCAAGACUUCGAUCAGUAGGGGUACUGAGAGGUUAAACCCCCACACUGGUACUGAGACACGGACCAG